rnacentral:rRNA from 1 species
GACGUACCACCCGAACGUUAUUCGGAUUUACUGGGCUUAAAGAGUCCGUAGGCGGCCAAGUAAGUUGGGUGUGAAAUACCUCGGCUUAACCGAGGAGCUGCAUUCAAAACUACUUGGCUUGAGAGAGACAGAGGUGAGCGGAACUGAUGGUGGAGCGGUGAAAUGCGUUGAUAUCAUCAGGAACACCGGUGGCGAAAGCGGCUCACUGGGUCUUAUCUGACGCUCAGGGACGAAAGCUAGGGGAGCGAACGGG